GCAUAUCAAUAAGCGGAGGAAAAGAAACCAACAGGGAUUGCCUCAGUAACGGCGAGUGAAGCGGCAACAGCUCAAAUUUGAAAUCUGGCUCUUUCAGGGUCCGAAUUGUAAUUUGUAGAAGAUGCUUCGGGAGCGUACCGGUCUAAGUUCCUUGGAACAGGACGUCAUAGAGGGUGAGAAUCCCGUAUGUGACUGGUUACUUAUCCUAUGUGAAGCUCUUUCAACGAGUCGAGUUGUUUGGGAAUGCAGCUCAAAAUGGGUGGUAAAUUUCAUCUAAAGCUAAAUAUUGGCCAGAGACCGAUAGCGCACAAGUAGAGUGAUCGAAAGAUGAAAAGCACUUUGGAAAGAGAGUUAAACAGUACGUGAAAUUGUUGAAAGGGAAGCGCUUGCAACCAGACUUGCACGCAGUUGAUCAUCUGGUGUUCUCACCAGUGCACUCUGCUGCGUUCAGGCCAGCAUCGUUUUUGGUGGUUGGAUAAAAGCCUUGGGAAUGUAGCUUCUUUCGGGGAGUGUUAUAGCCCUCGGUGCAAUGCAGCCUACCGGGAACGAGGACCGCGCCUUUGGCUAGGAUGCUGGCGUAAUGGUUGUAAGCGACCCGUCUUGAAACACGGACC
rnacentral:rRNA from 3 species